ACAACGGCUCUCUUAGGAGCCACCAACUGACACUGAAGUCAUGCC
rfam:Nematostella vectensis strain CH2 x CH6 NEMVEscaffold_74_Cont10382, whole genome shotgun sequence.